AACGAACGCUGGCGGCAUGCCUAACACAUGCAAGUCGAACGAGACCUUCGGGUCUAGCGGCGCACGGGUGCGUAACGCGUGGGAACCUGCCCGUAGGUUCGGAAUAACUCCCCGAAAGGGGUGCUAAUACAGGAUAAGGUACUCGGACCAAAGUUUUAUCGCCUUGGGAUGGGCCCGAGAUGGAUUAGCUAGUUGGAAGGGUAAAAGCCUACGAAGGCGACGAUCCAUAGCUGGUCUGAGAGGAUGAUCAGGCACACUGGGACUGGGACACGGCCCAGACUCCUACGGGAGGCAGCAGUGGGGAAUAUUGGACGCUGGGCGAGAGCCUGAUCCAGCAGUGCCGCGUGGGUGAUGUGGGCCUUAGGAUUGUAAAGCUCUUUUGCACGGGAUGAUAGUGACAGUACCGGGAGAAUAAGCUCCGGCUAACUCCGUG
rnacentral:rRNA from 1 species